GUGUGUGUGUGUGUGUGUGUACUUAGCAGUCUGUGUAUUCAGCAGACUGUGUACUCAGCAGUCUGCUAAGUACACAGACAGACUG